rnacentral:lncRNA from 1 species
GGUUUUCCGCCUCUGCCUUGCUUUUCCGGUCGCCGCGGACUAGGCUGCCAGUCUACCCCACCGGGACGUCUGCCCCCGCAUGCAGGAGGGGGUGUGUCGGCCCAACGGGGUCUCAGGACCUGUCCCUGCUCCUCCAAAGCCCACGUCGCCUGCGGCGCCCCUCGGGUCUGCGCCGCGUUCUCCUUUAGCCUCCCGGGCCUCUCCGCUGCCCCUCGCCCCCAGGCACCAGCCACACCUGCUUCCUUCUGUUCCCGCCCGUGGCCUCUGACACGCCGUGCCCUGGACCCGAAAUGCCCGCCCCACUCCUGGAGCCUCCGGUGUGUGAGAGGCACCUUUCCUUGGGGUCAGGGGCCCGGACUCUGAAGCCGGCCUGGCUUUGCCUGUGGGCCCCGAUCCUCCCAGCUCGAGUCCCUCGCCCCAGCCGCCGCGGGCCUUCACCUGUGCUUUGGGGACGACAGGAUGGCCACCCUCCUUCCCCCAAAGAUUUGAGGGUUUUGCUCCACGCGGGAGAAGGUCUGCCUGUGCCACCAGCCGGCAGCCUUUCACAUGCUGUUGCGUUACGGGGCCCUCUGUGACCUUUCCCUAGGCCGAGGGGUGCUUCGUCUCUGUUCCUGAGAGACCAGAAUUUAUUCUUGGUUUGUCAAGCCACAUCUGUAGGAAUGUUGCCCAGUUGCAGCAGGCUGGGGUCUGGGACUUGCUCCUUUGGCGAAUUGAGAAGUAAGGAUAUAGAAGGCAUUUUAGCACUAAUGGAAACCAGAACCACUCUUAGACCUGGGCAAGAGGGGCCCCAGAAAUUAGCAAGCGAUUAGCAAGCAGCUGGAUUUCGAUGACCUCCACUGUACUUAGAGCAACGGCAUUCGAUUCGUUGGAUCAUUUCAAAGAUGACAUACUGGGUUGUUUGUUUGUUUCUGGCGGUGUCUAAAGAUGGAACAUCUUGAAGCAUUUUGAAUUUGACCUGUGGCUACCCUCAGAUACAAUGAUGGUAACCCCAUGAGUGCUGUUAAAGCAAUUUGACUUAUUGUAGACAGGUUAACACAUGAGAUGCGUUAAAAGAGUUAAGUGAAAUAAUAGGCAGCAUUCAAAGAGCAAAUCGUGGUCUUUGGCAGAAAAUAGAGUUAAUUUUGUAUUUGAGCUGUCCAGUUAUUACAAUUAGAAAACGUUUUAAAGAAUCCAAAAGGAUUUAAAAUAUUGCAUAAAGUUUUAGGAGAAAAUGGUUUCCAAAAAGCAACUGCAUAUGAAAUAAGCACUAAAAUGACAUUAAAGUACAAUGUAAGAAAAUCGGAACUAGAAGCAUUUGCUGGAGUCUGAAGAAAAAGAUUUAUGGAUGAAUGAUUCUGAAACUAACUUCUAUAGAGACAAUUUUCCGGCGAUGGUAGAUCAAGGUGUAGAUUGUACUGAAGAGAGAGAUUCAAACAAAGUGAGUAAUCUACCGCAGUUUUCAGUUUUCUUGGUAAUACCCCAACAACGUAAAAGAAAAACGUAAGAAAUCCUGUAUGGAUCUAAAUGUAAGAAACGAUGAUAAUGGUGAAAUAAUAACAUUAUUUUAUAUAAUGAAAAUAUUGUGUAAUAUUUUCUGCAAUCAUAAUUUUUCAUAUGCACCCUUUCUACACUGUUUAAACAUGAUAUCAACAGUCAUGAUUCAGUUCUACAUAUAACGCUUUAAGAAUUUAUUCAUAAUUCGUUACCACUCAGCAGAGUCAAGUUUCUCCCAAUUGAAAUAACUAAAAACUAUCUGAAAGUAUACUGACUCAGGAAAGUUUGUCUAAUUUGGCACUACUGUCAAAAGAAUGCAAUUGCGUGAAAAUCUUCAUUAGUCAUUCUUCUGAAAUGAAGACAAGAGAAACAUUUAUAGAAGAAAUAACAUAAUUUAUGGAUUAUGUGAUUAUGUAUGUCUUUAUUACCCAUCCAAGCAUUAGUGGCCCAUCAACAUAAUACCUAGAGAUACACAAUAAAAAUUAGCUAUCUUUAAUAUUUUGCCAAUUUUCAGCUAUAUUAAAACCAUAGUUUUACACAU